rnacentral:rRNA from 1 species
GAUGGGCGCAGCUCAUGAACAUAGCCGCGUGAGGGAUGACGGCCUUCGGGUAGUAAACCUCUUUCGCCAAAGGACGAAGCGCAAGUGACGGUACCUGGAGAAGAAGGACCGGCCAACUACGUGCCAGCAGCCGCGGUAAUACGGUAGGGUCCCGAGCGUUGUCCGGAAUUACUGGGCGUAAAGAGCUCGUAGGUGGUUUGUCGCGUUGUUCGUGAAAACUCACAGCUUAACUGUGGGCGUGCGGGCGAUACGGGCAGACUUGAGUACUGCAGGGGAGACUGGAAUUCCUGGUGUAGCGGUGGAAUGCGCAGAUAUCAGGAGGAACACCGGUGGCGAAGGCGGGUCUCUGGGCAGUAACUGACGCUGAGGAGCGAAAGCGUGGGGAGCGAACAGGAUUAGAUACCCUGGUAGUCCACGCCGUAAACGGUGGGUACUAGGUGUGGGUUUCCUUCCUUGGGAUCCGUGCCGUAGCUAACGCAUUAAGUACCCCGCCUGGGGAGUACGGCCGCAAGGCUAAAACUCAAAGAAAUUGACGGGGGCCCGCACAAGCGGCGGAGCAUGUGGAUUAAUUCGAUGCAACGCGAAGAACCUACCUGGGUGUGACAUGCACAGACGCCGUUCAGCAUGUCGGUUCCCUGUGCCUGUGUACA